rnacentral:misc_RNA from 1 species
UUAUAGAUCAGACCUAGGGUUGUAGCUGGUCCCUCGGGGGGUGGGAACGGAGAUUCUAAUUCCGGAAAUCUGUGAAUUACGUGAUGCUUUAAAGAGGAGCCAUAUAUAUGUGCUGUCUAAAAGUCAAUUGUUUGCCUUGAAAACAUAUCAAUAUGAUUUUUGAAUGGAUCUCUUGGGUCUUCCACCUAUGAAUGACAAAGCGAAAUGCGAUAAUUAAUGUGAAUUAUAAAUUUUUGAUGAAUCGUCGAAUCUUUGAAUAUGGUUGUGGGUUUGGUAUCUGAGGGGCAGCCUGUUAGAUUGGCAUUUGAAGUCAAUUCGUUGAUUUUUGAUGGGAAAGAGGUCUGGAUUCUGGAACAGGCUGGCCCAAUUGAGGGCCGCUCCCCUUUAAAUGCCCCAGCGGAAAUCCCGGGGGGGGGGGCCAACCGACAGAUAAUCCGGGUGCUCCCCCCGGGCUGGUUGGGGCUCGCCCAUAAUCCUCUUCGAUACGAUCCUUUUGACCCCAAUCAGGAAGACUACCCCCGAAUUAAUUCUUCAAAAGGCGAAGAAAAA